ensembl:rRNA 5S_rRNA 5S ribosomal RNA
UUCUACAGCCAUACCACCCUGAACGCGCCCGAUCUUGUCUGAUCUCAGAAGCUAAGCAGGGUCGGGCCUGGUUAGUACUUGGAUGGGAGAAUUUCAGUCCUGUUCUUC